GACGAACGCUGGCGGCGUGCUUAACACAUGCAAGUCGAACGGAAAGGCCCUUCGGGGUACUCGAGUGGCGAACGGGUGAGUAACACGUGGGUGAUCUGCCCUGCACUUUGGGAUAAGCCUGGGAAACUGGGUCUAAUACCGAAUAGGACCACGCGCUUCAUGGUGUGUGGUGGAAAGCUUUUGCGGUGUGGGAUGGGCCCGCGGCCUAUCAGCUUGUUGGUGGGGUAAUGGCCUACCAAGGCGACGACGGGUAGCCGGCCUGAGAGGGUGACCGGCCACACCGGGACUGAGAUACCGCCCCGACUCCCAACGGGGGCAGCAGUGGGGGAUAUUUCCACAAGGGGGCAAGCCUGAAGCAAGGACCCCGCGUUGGGGGAGACCGCCCUCCGGUUGUAAACCUCUUUCAAUAGGGACCGAGCCGAAAGUACGGUAACUAAAAGAGAAGCACCGGCCAACUACGUG
rnacentral:rRNA from 1 species